AUAGGAUGCCUCAGGUGGAGAAGUCAUGUUAAGCAACUUGCAAUACCGGGGACUGAAGAAAGCUGAGAACCUGACAGCUCCAUGUUUCAAUUUGGAAAAUGAUAGAAGACAACAUAGGAAAUACCAUUCUGGACAUAAGGUGUGACAAAGACUUUAUAAGGAUGAAGCCAAAAGCAACUGCAAUGAAAACACAAUUUGAUAAGUGGGAUCUAAUUAAACUAAAGAGCUUCUGCACAGCAAAAUAAACUGUCAACAGAGUAAACAGACAACCAACAGACUGGGAGAAAAUAUUUGCAAUUUAUGGAUCCAACAAAGAUUUAAUAUCCAGAAUAUGUAAGGAACUGAAACAAAUCAACAAGCAAAAAUCAAACAACCUCAUUAAAAAGUGAGCAAAAACCAUGAACAGACAUUUCUCUAAAGAAGGCGUACACUCAACGAAGAAGAGUAUGAAAAAAUACUGAACACCACGAAUCGUUAGAGAAAUGCAAAUAAAAACUACAAUGAAAUACCAUCUCACACAAAUUAGAAUGGCUAUUAAUAAAAUGUCAAAACGUAAUAGAUGCUGGUGAGGUUGUGGGGGAAAGAGAAUGCUUACACCAAUAGUGGGAAUGUAAACCUAUUCAGGCACUGUGGAAAGAAGUUUGGAGAUUUCUUAAAGAUCUAAAAACAGAGAUACCAUUCGACCCAGAAAUCCAAUUAUUGGAUAUAUACUCAAGGAAUAUAAGUCAUCUUACGGUAAAGACAUAUGCGCACGUGUACAUUGCAGCACUCUUGACAGCAGCACAGAAAUGGAAUCAACCUAAAUGCCCAUCAAUGAUAGACUGGAUAAAGAAAAUCUGGCAGAUAUACACCAUGGAAUAUUAAGCAUCCCUAAAAAGAAUGGGAUCAUGUCAUUUGAAGCAACUUGGAUGGAGCUGGAGGUCAUUAUCCUACAUGAGUAAAUGCAGAAACAGAAAACCAAACACCACAUCUUCUCACUUAUAAGUGGGGGCUAAACACUGAGUGCACAUGGACACAAAGAAGGGAACAACAGAUGCCAGGGACUACUGGAGGGUGGAGGUAGAGAGGAGGGUGAGGAUCAAAAAACUACCUAUCUGUUACUAUGCUUAUUACCUGGGUGAUGAAAUAAUCUAUACACCAAAUCCCUAAAACACACAAUUUACCUACAUAAUAAACCCACACGUGUAUCCUUUGAACCUGAAAUAAAAGUUGAAAGAAAAAAUGAACAUUGUAUUCAGAUAGCUUGAGUAGUCACUGUUUUUAUGCUAUAUAGAUAAGCAUUUAAUAGAAAUUAUCCCUGACAAUGUGUAGUUUGCAGUUGGGUAGUAAGCAUAGGCUUAUGUGUAAUGUAUUCU
rnacentral:lncRNA from 1 species